AUACAUGUUUCCUGGAUCUAUAAACCAUCAUCAUACAUCAACCAAAAUAACAAGUAUCAUAUUAUAUAACUUACUAUAGUGCAAGUUAACUUUCCCAACUAUGGCAAGGAAAGUUGAAUUGGUGUUGUUCCUUGCAAUGCUUUUGUUUACAGCGAAAAUUGGAGACGCUGAAUCACGUUAGUCGAAAUGUUGGGACUAGUGCUCAGCGGAUCCCUUCUGCUAUGGUACCUGUAUGGUCACACGCGCUAUAGGUGAAUCACUUGACACUCCUGAUGAGGUUGGAACUCAAAAACAAGUUUGUAAUGUUGGUUGUUCCCUUGGCCAUUGUUACAAAUUUCUCAUCAAAAAUGGUAGCUACCACUCCUUCAUGUUUUGCUAUACAUUUUUAUUUUCUCUGUAGAAUUUUACUUCAUCCAUAGUACUUAUUCAUGUUACUAAAACUAGAUGUUCCGUAAUACCUGUCUACACGGUUUGGAUCCAUAUUUUGUGAAACAAAUAGAACUUUCACGCAAUUAAUAUCAAUUGUAUUAGUUAUAAAUUAAAAAUUAUCAUGUAAUUAAUAAUACAUAAUACAUUCAAUCUUGCUUUAC
rnacentral:lncRNA from 1 species